UCUAAAACCAUGAUUUGGUAAUAUAUAAUUUCAUAAAAUAAGACCGAUGUUGAUUCAAAAAACAGAUAAAAUGCAAAAGAGUCUCAAAAAGUCCAAAAACAGCACAAAAAUCGAAAAAUCAUAAAAUAUGCAAAUAAAAUGUUUAAUAUCAUACAAGUGAUCCUGAGUGAUCCAAGUGAACUGAUUUGAAAACAGACAUAGGUUAAUUCAGGCCAAUGUUUUAAACUAACAACACAAAAUUGGAACUUCUGGACGGAAACACGCGGGCGGCGGGCUGUUACAACGAUUUCUUCUCAUCACAAAACAUUUUAUUUUCUCUCACAGUCCAACGCGAUAAUAAUAAUUGUUGUGUAUACCUAAAGUAUAUCUACGACGGUUGUGUUCAAGUCAUCAAAAAUGUGUAUGAUAAUAUAAUGUAUGUAUAAAUGAGACAUUAUGUACCAAAAUACAUUAAAGUGCCACAGCCCCAACAGGCGCUAUAAAAUAUAAUAUAAAUAUAUAAUAAUUUAAAUUUGUUAUUGAAACUUUAUAUGCUAAUCCUUUAUAUAUAUAUAACUUUUAU